rnacentral:rRNA from 1 species
GGAAUUUUCCGCAUUGGGCGAAAGCCUGACGGAGUGACGCCGCGUGUGGGAUGAAGGCCUUCGGGUCGUAAACCACUGUCAGUGGGAAAGAAGGGUGUUGGCGUGAUAACCGUCGGCACCUGACGGUACCCGCAGAGGAAGCCCCGUCCCACUCUGUGCCAGCAGCCGCGGUAAGACAGAGGGGGCAAGCGUUGCUCGGAAUUACUGGGCGUAAAGGGCGCGUAGGCGGGAUGGCAAGUCGGUCGUGAAAUCCUUCGGCUCAACCGCAGAACGUCGAUCGAUACUGCUGUUCUAGAGGGUUGCAGAGGAGACUGGAAUUCCCGGUGUAGCGGUGAAAUGUGUAGAGAUCGGGAGGAACACCGGUGGCGAAGGCGGGUCACUGGGCAACUCCUGACGCUGAGGCGCGAAAGCGUGGGGAGC